UACGUAGGGGGCAAGCGUUGUCCGGAAUUAUUGGGCGUAAAGCGCGCGCAGGCGGUUAUUUAAGUCUGGUGUUUAAUCCUGGGGCUCAACUCCGGGUCGCACUGGAAACUGGGUAACUUGAGUACAGAAGAGGAAAGUGGAAUUCCACGUGUAGCGGUGAAAUGCGUAGAGAUGUGGAGGAACACCAGUGGCGAAGGCGACUUCUGGCUGGUAACUGACGCUGAGGCGCGAAAGCG
rnacentral:rRNA from 1 species